GACGAACGCUGGCGGCGUGCCUAAUACAUGCAAGUAGAACGCUGAAGGAGGAGCUUGCUUCUCUGGUUGAGUUGCGAACGGGUGAGUAACGCGUAGGUAACCUGCCUGGUAGUGGGGGAUAACUAUUGGAAACGAUAGCUAAUACCGCAUAAUAGCAGCUGUUGCAUGACAACUGUUUGAAAGGUGCAAUUGCACCACUACCAGAUGGACCUGCGUUGUAUUAGCUAGUUGGUGGGGUAACGCCUCACCAAGGCGAGGAUGCAUAGCCGACCUGAGAGGGGGAGCGGCCACACUGGGACGGAGACACGGCCCAGACUGCUACGGGAGGCGGCAGGAGGGAAUCGUGGGCAAGGGACGGGAGUCUGUGCGAGCAACGCCGCGGGAGGAAAGAAGGUUUUCGGAUCGGAGAGCUCGGUUUUAAGAGUGUAACGAGUGUGAGAGUGGAAAGUUCACUCUGUGACGGUAUCUGACCAGGAAGGGACGGCUAACUACGUG
rnacentral:rRNA from 1 species